CAAAGAGAGAAUGAAAAACGGCAAAGAAGAGAAGCUGAAGGAGGGACGAAAUUUCGUGAAUUUUUUUUGCACCAUUUGUCUUUCUUUCGUCUUUCUUAUCUAUCCAUUCAUGCUUGCAAGCGCUGCAUGCAAAUGGACAAAUGAAAUGAAUGAGUUAGGGAAUUAAAUUCUUAAACAAACGUGUGUAGACCUCUUUCUUUCUUUCUUUCUU
rnacentral:ribozyme from 11 species